rnacentral:ncRNA from 1 species
AACUGAAACAUCUAAGUAGCUAUGGGAAGGGGAAUCAACCGAGACCCCGUUAGUAGCGGCGAGCGAAAGCGGAUUGGGCAAAUACUAAGCAGCGGAGGUUUUCGUUUCGAUCUUGGUCUCAUUUUCCUAGCCUUGCCUUCUCUGCGUGAUUCAUUUCAGUUCAUUGGAUGAUGGAAGAACCAGGCAUGCCGAUCUUUGCCCUUUGAUUUAGGCUAUAAGGUGCCGUAAGGAACUUGAGUUGCUCGACCAUAAGGGACGGAGUCACUCACUAUUCAUAUGGUGAGGACCUUUAGGUGCUCGACCAUAAGGGCCGCCAUCGAGAGGUAGGCAGAAUUGUGAAUGAAAAGGUUGGAAGAUCUGGCCAAAGAAGGUGAUAGCCCUGUAGAGAGUCCCAUGGUUCGAUUCUGUAAGUAAAACGCAGCGUGUUUGAAUUAGGAUCGCUUCGUAGCGAGAAAGGGGGACCACCCUCUAAGCCCAAGUAUUCCUCAAUGACCGAUAGCGUACAAGUACCGUGAGGGAAAGGUGAAAAGAACCCUAGGAAAGGGAGUGCAAUAGAAAGAAAUCCGAUGCGAACAAUCAGUCGAAGGAUGCGUAAGCAGGCUCGACCAUAAGGGAGAGGAAUUUCUUGCUUGACCCUCCGGGGGAAAGGAGCGAAGCUGCGGGUAAGAUUCUCAGGGUCUAAUCUGACCGGAAAUACCCUCUCCUUAGCAGUCGAGCC